AAUGUUUUACUUUGCGACCAUUUCUUAAAUUUUUGGUUAGGUUUAAAAAAUGGGUGAUAUGAAAAAAUCACCAGGUCUUUUUCCUGAUGAAAGUAUGUGAUAUUUGGUGUUGUGCAAGGCAUAUGAUAGGGUACAAGCAUAGAACCAUGGUGACAUUUGAGUAUUAAAGGUUGAUAGCAAUACUUAAGUGUUGAUAGAAACAACUUAUAUGGAGUACGAGUUGAGAUAUUUGUCAAGGAAAAUGACUUUCACCCACAGGUGACGUAAAUCAUUUUCCCCCUUUAAGUGGUAAAUUUUCUCUUCCACUAGAGGAUAACCAAACACCGAAAAUGAUUUCAUCAAGUGGAAAGCAUUUUUUAUCAUACCAAAUACUCUCAUAUUUUCGGUUUGGGCCACCGGUUCUACUUGGAUGCACUACAGAUGCGAUUGCAGGAAUGUGUUUGGGAUAAUUAGUCUGUUGUACACUUGUUCUACAAGGUAGAAUUUCCUUUAUUUAUCAAAAUAUGCACGUUGUUAUUACUGAGACUUGGUAAUCACAUGUAGUAAUUGCACAAGAAACCUUACCAUUGCAUAUGAACUAUAACGGAUGUCUAAAAAGAGAUGAUAGGGAUCGGUUUACGUUGGUUAUAUUUACUAAGUUUGGAGGUGAUCUCAGACACUGAUCCAUUCAUUUUCUCAUAAUACCAUAAACCACAGAUUUCAUAGAUUAAGAAAAUGAUAAUGUUCAAGAAAGUUGUGGUCGCAUAAGUUGUUUGACUUUGAUAAUGAGAUUUUGUUACAGAAAUGAUAAAUGUGAUUGGAUGGAGUUGUUUCACUCUGUUUUCUCCAAUCUCUUUAUAAUGGCUGCUCUGGAACAUUGUUAAAUUCAUUUUGAGGCUUAUUUCAAAGGUAGAGAGCUUCUAAGAUAGCUAGAAGCAUAACAUUUGCUGUCCUUUGGUGUUAUAUCUCUUUGAUCGGAUAAAUCUUCUAGUUACCAUGCGUCUUUUCUAUAUAUUAAUUUGGACGUUUGCUAUCUGUGAAUUUUUUUUCAUUUCC
rnacentral:lncRNA from 1 species